CGCAGCCACGGUAAUCCCAGCUCCAAUAGCGUAUAUUAAAGUUGUUGCAGUUAAAAGGCUCGUAGUUGAAUUUCGGGAUCAAGGAAUCGGUCAUGCCUUGGUAUGUACUGGUUUUAUUGGUUCUCACCUUCUAAAGAACCAUAAUGUCAUUUAUUUGAUGUUAUGGGGAAUUAGGACUGUUACCUUGAAAAAUUAGAGUGUUUAAAGCAAGCUUACGCUUGAAUACAUUAGCAUGGAAUAAUGAAAUAGGACAUCCGAUUCUAUUUUGUUGGUUUCUAGGAUCGAUGUAAUGAUUAAUAGGGAUAGUUGGGGGCAUUAGUAUUCAAUUGUCAGAGGUGAAAUUCUUGGAUUUAUUGAAGACUAACUACUGCGAAAGCAUUUGCCAAGGAUGUUUUCAUUAAUCAAGAACGAAAGUUAGGGAUCGAAGACGAUCAGAUACCGUCGUAGUCU
rnacentral:rRNA from 1 species